UACGUAGGUGGCAAGCGUUGUCCGGAUUUAUUGGGCGUAAAGAGCGUGUAGGCGGCCAGGUAGGUCUGGUGUGAAAACUCGAGGCUUAACCUCGAGAUGUCAUCGGAAACCAUCUGGCUAGAGUCCGGGAGAGGAGAGUGGAAUUCCGUGGUGUAGCGGUGAAAUGCGCAGAUAUCAGGAAGAACACCCGUGGCGAAAGCGGCUCUCUGGAACGGUACUGACGCUGAGACGCGAAAGCGUGGGGGAGCGAACAGG
rnacentral:rRNA from 1 species